rnacentral:rRNA from 1 species
GAUGAACGCUGGCGGCGUGCUUCAAAAAUACAAGUCGAACGGUGAAGGCGGAGAUUGAUCUGAUGGAACAAAAGAAAACGAAUGAGUAACACGUAAGCAAUCUGAACCUGACUCUGGGAUAAGCGCUGGAAACGGCGUCUAAUACUGGAUACGAGCUGCGAAGGCAUCUUCAGCAGCUGGAAAGAACUUCGGUCAGGGAUGAGCUCGCGGCCUAUCAGCUUGUUGGUGAGGUAACGGCUCACCAAGGCGUCGACGGGUAGCCGGCCUGAGAGGGUGACCGGCCACACUGGGACUGAGACACGGCCCAGACUCCUACGGGAGGCAGCAGUGGGGAAUAUUGCACAAUGGGCGAAAGCCUGAUGCAGCAACGCCGCGUGAGGGACGACGGCCUUCGGGUUGUUAACCUCUUUUAGCAGGGAAGAAGCGAAAGUGACGGUACCUGCAGAAAAAGCGCCGGCUAACUACGUG